CAUUAAUCCCUGAAACGCAAAUACUUGGUCAGUCAUCUUAACCAAUUACCUCGUCGUGACUACGACUCAAACUGAUCCAACAGCAAAAUCAGGCGGAAGCACACAAGUGCACUCAUUCUAGACCCUUAGCAUCAUAUCGUCGGCCACCGACACAACCACCUCGAGCCAAGAACUAAUACCACUCGAAUCCAUCUCUAGCAUCUACUAGAGAUAUAUCACCAACUUCGACCCAAUCGAAUUAACUCCCGCCACCGUUAUAGAUUCACGUUCCACUCACGCACCUAUAUCCUUAGGGCUUACCAACCUAGGGUCUCCUAGGUCAUCCUAGACUUUCUCUCUUUACUUGCUCUUAUUGCUCUGAUACCACAGACUGUCACACCCCCACCCCGAAACCCCUACCAAUUUGGCACGGUUCAGGCGCGAUGAACGGACGCCGAACGGACAGCGUCUCCCCUGUCUGCCCAAGGCUC
rnacentral:lncRNA from 1 species